AGUGAACGCUGGCGGUAGGCCUAACACAUGCAAGUCGAACGGCAGCACAGUAAGAGCUUGCUCUUACGGGUGGCGAGUGGCGGACGGGUGAGGAAUAAAUCGGAAUCUACUUUUUCGUGGGGGAUAACGUAGGGAAACUUACGCUAAUACCGCAUACGACCUACGGGUGAAAGCAGGGGAUCUUCGGACCUUGCGCGAUUGAAUGAGCCGAUGUCGGAUUAGCUAGUUGGCGGGGUAAAGGCCCACCAAGGCGACGAUCCGUAGCUGGUCUGAGAGGAUGAUCAGCCACACUGGAACUGAGACACGGUCCAGACUCCUACGGGAGGCAGCAGUGGGGAAUAUUGGACAAUGGGCGCAAGCCUGAUCCAGCCAUACCGCGUGGGUGAAGAAGGCCUUCGGGUUGUGAAGCCCUUUUGUUGGGAAAGAAAAGCAGCAGGUUAAUACCCCGCUGUUCUGACGGUACCCAAAGAAUAAGCACCGGCUAACUUCGUG
rnacentral:rRNA from 1 species